UGGGGUGUUGCGCAUUCUGCGAAAAGGGGCUGCCAGCAGUACAAGCUCCAUCCGCCUCCCGCUCCCGUCCCCCGGGCCUGCCAGAUCUGCGGUACGAGUCCCCCGUGUGGGGGAGUAAAAUUGGGUACUGCAUGGGCACUGCCUCUUUUUGGAGUACUCCUAGGAAGAGCUUAGCAGUCUAAAUCCUGUGCACAACUGGAACCUUUACCUUUGGAAAGAAUAUUCCAGUGAAGAGCUGUGCAAUCUCGCUUUUCUGGACAAAUUUCAUUUUGAAAAGCUCACUGUUAUUUCAGAAAGGGGAGAGACCAGAGGAUAACACAGGUUUAAUGACUUGGUUACCUUGACAAGUCUGGAUUAUUCCCAGGAAGAACAAUCUUCCCUUUGUGGACAGAUUUCAUUUUGACAAGGUCAUUGUUUCUUUUCAAAGGUCAGAGAGCUGAGAAGGAGUGAGGCCCUCUUGACAUGACUGUUCCAGAGGCUUCACUUCAGUUCUGUACUUCCCAUUCCAAGGACUGUGUUAACCUGGAAAAUUUCAGAAGACACCCUCAGGUUCACUAUCGCAACCAUCCCACUUCUUUUUGAAAGGUUUAUUCCCUGGAAGAGCUGAGGAACCUUCCCUCUGUGGACAAAUUUCGUUUUGACAAGGUCACUGUUUCUUUUCAAAGGUCAGAGAGCUGAGGAAGAGUGAGGUCACAUGACUCGGUGCUCUUGACAUGGCUGGUGAGUGGAUGAGGAGGGAGAUACCCUGGAAGAUUUGAGAAGUGGCCCCCUCAUUCACAAAUGUCCUCAGGAUUAUUCCCAGAAGGAGCUGAGCAAUCUUCCCCUGGUGGACAAAUUUCAUUUUGACAAGGUCACUGUUUCUUUUCGAAGGUCAGAGAGCUGAGGAGGAGUGGGGUCACAUGACCUGGCGCUCUUGACAUGACUGCUGAGUGGAUGGGGUGAGAUGUGAAGUCCAGGCUUCCUGGCCAUGCAGGAUUUUUAUAUCCUGGAAGAUUUGAGGAGUUAUCCUCUUCUUUACAAAUGUCUUCAUGUAACCAUCCCUCUUCCUUUUGAAAGUCCAGUUGGCAGAAGAAUUAAGUGAUGCUAAGACAUGAAAUAGGAUUUUGCCAGGAUGACACAUCUCAUAAAUGGCUCAGAAGGGAAGACAGAAGGAAAGUCAAAAGGCUUACCUGGAAGAGGCAGAAAAGUUUCACGGAUCCUAAAAGAAGGGAGAAAAUACAAGACUGUCGCUUUAAAUGUUUGGCAGUAGACCAAAUGAAAGUAGCUGGCCCUAUAAUUUGAAGGGCUAGCAGUAAAUGGCCCUUGGACAAAUUGAGAUUUAUAUUUUACCAUUAGUGAUUAUAAAUCCAGAUUUGAUUUGGCACUGAAACUAAAUCAUCUUGUGGUCUCAUAGUGAAAUGUGUUCCCCAUCAGGAUAAUAGUGGUAAAAUGUAAAAAUGCAUUUAUUAUUUGGCAUUAAGGCAGAAGAAAAAAAUGCUAGAAAAUGCAUGGAUCAGGAAAACCUGAGUCAAAAAAAUCCAAUCUCAGCAACUAAUCUAGCCUCAAAAAUUUAUUGACUAUGUGACUUCACUUCUGUUUACCUCAGUUUCCCCAUCUGUAAAAGGGGAAAUGAAAUAAUAGCACCCACCUCCUAGGGUUUUUGUAAGGGUUAUAUGAUUGUAAAGUGCUUAACACAAUGCCUGGAAUAUGACAAGCACUAUAUAAAUGUUAACUAUUGUUAAAAUUAUUAUUUCUUUAAUCAGCUGCAACAGUUCCAUGCUUCAUACCUUUAUACCAGGUUUUAGAUAUGAUCAGUGUAAAAUGCCAAAAGUGAUCAAAUAAAGGGAUUUCUAUGUAAAAGGAAUCAGAGAUGCAUUCAGACAAACUGGCAUUCAGAUAAAUGUACCUCCAAAUUCUGUUAUGUUUUAAGAAUCCAUAAUAGUAUUUAUAUUGUUAUUAUGAUUUAAAUUUACUUUUGUUGUGGAUGCUGGGAAAAUAUUGUAUGAGACAUGCUGAAAAUUUCUUUUGAUCUAGUUACUUUGAAAUUAUGAUGUCAUUAGCAGUUAUUGUAAUAAUGUAAAAAUCUAUCAAGUAUACAGUUGAGUAUAUUUUGAAAGGGAAAAUUGAUAAUUCCUUACUGCAUGGGAAAAGGUGUAAAGAAAAUACCUCGUAAAAUCUUUUUAUUUGUAAACUUCCGAGAUUUUUUGAGAUUGUCUGCUUGGGCGACCUCAUAAAAUCUUAUCAGCCCCAUGAAAGAACUUGCUCAUGUUGUGAAAUUCCUGAACGAUGAACUGGUUUUCUGCGAAAAUGUGAUCCCCUCUUAUAACUCUUCCAAAAAUGAGGGAGAAAUAUUCAAGCCUGCUUAUAAUAAAGAGUGAGUUUCAUCUAAAGUUAUUUGCCUAUUACUUGUGAAGAUUAUGGAAUUAUGCCUGGAAUAGUAUAUACUGAAGUUGCAACUUUACCCAACUUAAUCUCAACAAAUUCCAAUCUUAAAGAUUUAUUUUUGCUUUAAGGGGCGAAUAUAGAAUACGUUAAGAGCUAGUUAACUGUUAGUCUGGAGGUUGACAGCAAUUGACCAGUGUUUUUCUGGGUUUUUGAGUAAACUCUCUUAUAUUCACUCUCUCUGUGAAAUUCCAGAAUGUAAUUAUUUUCUUCAUUUGUAAGGAUUAAUUUUUACACCUGGAUGAGUUUAAACUCAAGGAGGAGAAGAAAAAGAAGGAAAGAGUGUUUAAUAAAUUUUUAAAGGCCUGGUAAACUUUUUACUAUUGCAACACCAUGAGAACAAUAGUAACAGCUGUAUCUAGCCCUAAGCUUUGAUUAACGAAAUUUGCGAUUUGAGGUAAAAUCUCAUGGGAUUGUAAUCUGAUGUUAUCCUAAAUUUGGAUUUCUGGUAUGAUUAUAUAUAUUGUCAUGAGGCUAAUAGUUCACCAUUCAAGGGGGAUGCCAUGCACUGCCCAAAGGGAGUACAGUCUGGGAACUGCUAUUAAUGGAUAUCUCGGCCUGAAAAAAAGUUGAGGGAAUGACCUUGGCAUGGUCAAAGGGAGGAUUCUAUUGACUCAGUUUCCCCAUGGUGCUAUUCUUUUUUGAAUAGGUUUGUUUCCUACCUGGACAAUCCUGAGCUUGACUGGUUGUGAUACUCUUUGUAUGAGGUGGAACUUUGUUGCACGUUAGAAAUACUAAGAAUUUUACCUGGCCAUGUGUGAAUUUAGAAAAAAAAAUUUUUAUUUCAUGUCAUUAUUUGAUGGGGUGACUUGGCUGGCACAAGAACACUUAGCUAGGUACAAAGCUCUCUUUAUAAUACAUCCAGAUUCGAAUUUCGUGCCUCGAACCCCAUUGGUCAGCAUUUCAGGGUUCACUAAACCCCACCCCUUGAUCAUAUCCCUUCACCUCCACACCUCAAUCCCCUUUUCUCUUCUCAUCCACAUAGACCCCUUUCUUUAUAUUUUUAGCUUCCUUUCCAUUUUUCUGCAUCAGAUAGCAUGAGAAAGGAUCCCUCUCAAUUGCUAAAGGGAAUUGACAAAAACCAUGAGUUUGAAGAUUCAAACCCAGGAUAUCAAUGAUAAAAGAACCCAUCUUCUAAUACUGAGUCUAGUUUGAGUCUUAUCCUUUUGUGAUUGACACCUGGCCUGGCAGUUCUUUUGAGAUACUGGGACAGGCCUUCUUGGAACAAAGAGAGGAGUCUGCCUCAUAGAUAUGCUGAUUUUCAAGGGGCCAAACUCCUCAACUGCUUCAAAAGCAAUUUCAUUUCCUAUAAUUAACUAUAAUUAGUAUGGCUUCAAAUCUUAUUUUCAUAUAAUCUCUGUGGAAACAAAAUUCAAUCAUACCUUACAUUGCAUGAUUCACUUUUCUUAAAAUUUAACUACAACUUAGCUGAAAUCAAACACAGCUAAGGAUGCGUUAUUCUGAUAUGCAUUUCUGGAGUCAUUCUGUGCCCUUAGACUUAGGCCUAGAGGACUAGUUUUGAUGCUGUUCUACCUAGUCUCUCCUUCUUCCUCUUAUAGCAAAUUUCUUGUCAGAGAAUUUGAACAGUGGAAGUUUGUCAUUGCAAUGCUAAAUAAGUAUGUUUUAAGCAAAUUCAUUUGUUUAACCUCUUGAUAAGCAUCUACUUACAAUGAGUGCUGAUAGCUAUGAAUUCAUGUAUAGGAUAAGAUCCUUAAAAUGUCUCCUCCUGCUUGAGGGGAAUUACCAGGCAUGGAAAAUUUGAGAAAGCAAGAAGAUCAGACGAUUAUAUAUACAGACCUUGAAUGUGUUAUAAUAAUAAAUUCUAAAAAUUGGGUUCAGGACCUUAUAUAUAAAAUUGCAUUGAUAAUUGUAAAGAAAAAGAAACACCAAGUGGUAUGUAAUAACUGGGAGUUUCUGGAGUUUCUGGGUUCCUAAUUUGAUGUUCUCAUAGCUCCAUUGUUAAUAAGACCAGAAUCAUAAGACUUGAGCAGUUUUUUUUUACCACAUGAAUUGGUUAUUGGAAAAAUCACAUUUAAGAGGUUAUACUAAAUUAUAUUGAGCCUGGUUACAGACAGAUUUGAGUAGGAUUACCUAGGAAUCUCUUCAAGUGCCUUGGAAUCAGAGAUGCAAACCCACUGGAAAGAGGCCACUUCAGAGUUGCCCUCGGAAUGAGGCCUAUUCCUGAAAGACCAAGGGAAGACAUUAUCUGGGACUCAAGAUAAAAUGUGUUGAUUAAGUGAACAUUGGGAGUGGGUUACAAGGAAAAUUGAUGUUAUUUCACAUUAAUCACUAUUGUAUUACUUUGGUCUUUUGAUUCAUGGUAUUUAUAUUUACUGAAUUUUCUUGGUGACUUUGUUGAUAUAUAAAUCUCUCCUCUAAAAUUAGCACAGGGCGAGCUCUCUAAAUGACUUGAUGUGUAACCUGCUUUACUUUAUAUAUAGAACUUAUUUAAGAAGGUUUAUGUCCUUGGGGGAUACAUGAGAUUAUGAUUCCAUACCUAAGAUUAUUUGACUUUAUGACAUUGAUGGAAACAUGGGAUUAUGAUUUGUGAUACUCAUGGCUACAGUACACUUGUUUCCUUUUAUAAGUUUAAGUCCCCUGGCUUAUAGCCACAGAUGCUUGCUCAAAAUGAUGCGGCAUGAGCAGCAGAGAGCAAGAUGAUGCAGUUGAGGAUAAAAGAGUGAGGUGAAACCAGUUGUGCUGCUGUUCCAUAUAUAUGUUUAGCACCAAAUGGGGGGAUUAUAGAAAGUCCUGCUUGUCAAUCACUUUUGGGGGAGGCAUCAGCCCGUCUGCAGCUUUUGUAUUAUCACCUGCUAUCCCUCACAUAUCUAGUCACCUACUACCUGUUAGCCUGCAUGUCCUGGCAGUUGGGGAGGAGCUGAGGUGCAAUGUCCCAUCCCCUUUUGCUAAUGCAGACCUAUCUGAAAUGUCUUUAUCUUGUUAUUAAAGUUAUCAAUAAAAGCUGGCUCCAUCUUAAA